rnacentral:tRNA from 3 species
GGGCACUUAGCUCAGCGGUAGAGCGUUCGCCUCACACGCGAGAGGUCGGAGGUUCGAAUCCUCCAGUGCCCACCA